rnacentral:rRNA from 1 species
GACGAACGCUGGCGGCGUGCUUAACACAUGCAAGUCGAACGGUGGACGAGGGAGCUUGCUCCCUCCGGAUCAGUGGCGAACGGGUGAGUAACACGUGGGCAAUCUGCCCCGAACUCUGGGAUAAGCGUUGGAAACGACGUCUAAUACCGGAUACGACGCGGGACGGCAUCCUCUCAGCGUGGAAAGAACUUCGGUUCGGGAUGAGCUCGCGGCCUAUCAGCUUGUUGGUGAGGUAACGGCUCACCACGGCGACGACGGGUAGCCGGCAUGAGAGGGUGACCGGCCACACUGGGACUGAGACACGGCCCAGACUCCUACGGGAGGCAGCAGUGGGGAAUAUUGCACAAUGGGCGCAAGCCUGAUGCAGCAACGCCGCGUGAGGGACGACGGCCUUCGGGUUGUAAACCUCUUUUAGCAGGGAAGAAGCGAAAGUGACGGUACCUGCAGAAAAAGCACCGGCUAACUACGUG